CGUCAUAGAGAGGCGAAAGGUGCCAAAGGGACAUUCUAGGUUGGUUCCCUCCGUAAAAUAUCCAGUAUGCCUUCGGAAUAUACAAAUGUUGUCAAGAAUUUCAAUGACGGCCGGGUACCUGUCUAGGGACAUUCAAACGUAAGAAAAAAAUAAACUGACAAAACCAUGGCUAAAAAGAAAAGAAAAAAAACCAGACAAACAACAG
rnacentral:lncRNA from 1 species